rnacentral:rRNA from 1 species
UAAGUUGCAGGGUAUAGACCCGAAACCCGGUGAUCUAGCCAUGGGCAGGUUGAAGGUUGGGUAACACUAACUGGAGGACCGAACCGACUAAUGUUGAAAAAUUAGCGGAUGACCUGUGGCUGGGGGUGAAAGGCCAAUCAAACCGGGAGAUAGCUGGUUCUCCCCGAAAGCUAUUUAGGUAGCGCCUCGUGAAUUCAUCUCCGGGGGUAGAGCACUGUUUCGGCUAGGGGGCCAUCCCGGCUUACCAACCCGAUGCAAACUGCGAAUACCGGAGAAUGUUAUCACGGGAGACACACGGCGGGUGCUAACGUCCGUCGUGAAGAGGGAAACAACCCAGACCGCCAGCUAAGGUCCCAAAGUCAUGGUUAAGUGGGAAACGAUGUGGGAAGGCCCAGACAGCCAGGAUGUUGGCUUAGAAGCAGCCAUCAUUUAAAGAAAGCGUAAUAGCUCACUGGUCGAGUCGGCCUGCGCGGAAGAUGUAACGGGGCUAAACCAUGCACCGAAGCUGCGGCAGCGACACUGUGUGUUGUUGGGUA